CGCACCGCUUAUUCUACUUUUACCAUUCUACUUUUGGUUAUGUACCGCACUUGCUUUUUGUUACCAUUCACAUUUUAUUUUGUACCGCUUUUUUUUUGUUUAACCGCUAAUAAUCCGCAGUUUACAAAACCGCAGUUAAACCGUACCGCACUAUCCAAUCCGCUUGUCCCGCACCGCUCAAUCCGCUAUUACCAUUCGGAGCCUUAGGCUCUGAAAGGUAACAGCGGGUUGAGCGGGGCAGAACAAUCGGAUUGGUUAGUUAGUGCAGUGCGGUUUAUGUGCGGUUUGUGUUUGAAAAACGCAUACUGCGGGACAAGUGCGGUUCGUCUAAAAAAACGGUUUAAAACUAAAUGUGAAUGGUGACAUGUGUAAUGAAUAGUAUAACUGCGGGAUACAUAAUAUAUUUAUAUGUUAUAAACUAAAAAAUCAGUAAUAAUAAUAUAAUUUUUAAUAUAUAUAUAUAUAUAUUAUUUAAAAAAAAUAUUUAAUAUAUCUGAAAUAUGAAUUUUGAUAUGUUAUUACUGAGAUUUAAUAGUCAACAUCUUUUUUUAAAGUAUAAUUGAGCUAGUUGUCUUUAAAUAAUUUAAGUUUGUUAUUUAAACAUAGAAAUGUUAAAACCAGUAUUAAAAUUUUACUAUUGAAUCUUUAUUAUGCAAUUUUAUAAAUAAUAAUAAUUGUUAAUUUUUAUCAAAAAUACUAAAAUAAAUAAAAACGUGUUGGUUUAAGUGCUAAAGGGGUUUCAACUGGCUACUACUAGCUAGGUUCGACUCAUACUGAUCACCUAAUUGCACCUUUAACGAUAGAAUAACGCGUACGCGGAUGCAAAUCUUCGUGUGAUUAUUCUUUUGGGAUCCCACAUUUAUCAAUAUGAAUUAUUAAAAGUCAUAAAAUAAAUACACCUGUUAAAAUAUACAUUUGUAAUUAUAUUUUAUUUAUUUUAGUAUAAAAAUUAAAUUGGUGAAAUUGCAAAGUAUAAGAAAAUACUUAAAAAAAAAAAAAAGAAGUUAAGCAAACCACACCUUAAACAAGUAUUUUGACCGCACAUUGCGUUCUAGCUACCAUGAUUAAAAAGUAAAACUUUUGAUUUAUUUUUUAUUUUAAUUUUCUCUAAGUCCAAGAGCGCAAAAAGUGUGAAUGGUGACAUUUUAUUGUCAACCACUCCUUCCCGCUACAGAACGCCAUUAACAUUCAUACCCUUAAUGAGUCAUCUAAGUAACAAUAUACCGUUCGAUUUUGAGUUAUAUUGGAUCAAUUCACAUACCCCGAAGUUAAAUCUAAAAUAUAAAAGAAAAUAUAAUAAAUAUAUAUUUAUUUAUAUAAAAUUGAGUAUUUAAGGUACUUAUUUAAAUUUUAAAUACCUAUCUUUGGAUAUCAAAUCCAAAUAAAUAUGAAAUUGAAUAUUUGAAGUACAUAUUUAUGUUUCAAAUAUUUCUAUUGCAUGCUAAUUUGGACAAUCGGAUCGGCUUCUUCGGAUAUUAUUUUAGGUUUCUCGGUUUGUCGAUUUUUUCAGAUUAUUCGUUCGGGUUAGGUUAAUAACACUUCGGGUUCGAAUAUAUUUUGUAACAUCCUACAAAAUCCAUUGAGUAUUUUACAUUUUGGACCGGGUAUGGAACGGGUUUGGUUUAGAUUUUGGAUUACAGAUUUUAUGUCCAUACCUACCUGAUGGUUUUUGCUUUGUUACUGGUGGUGGUGGUUGAGGCGUCUCGGUGCAAGUUCAGAUCCAUUGAGGAAAAGAUCCAGUUUGCUUCCUCAAGAGCGUUUUUUUCUCUUUCUUUUGUCGGUCACCUUCUCCAAAUCUAUUGUCGUCACAAGUGGUGAAGGGGAGUAGCGGUGAUUCGGUGUGUUGCAGUUUGUUCGCUUUAGAGGUACUUGAAUUGUUAGGACUCACGAAUCCGGAUGGUGGUGAUGGUCGUCUUGGUGUUCUCUUGUAUCAUGUUCUUUCGGAAGUGAUGUGGUCUCUUCCGACUUUUGUGGUGGCUCGAUGGUUUGUCUCUUCUCUGCUUGCCGGUGGCUAGUUGGAGGGUUCAUUUUCGCACUGCACGACGGCUAGGGUUUCUUAAAACCAUUUUCUUUACAUUUAUUUUUAAAUCAAAAUCUGAUUAAAAAUCUAAUUAACUUUUAAUGAAUCCACUUAUUUAUAGAUUCUACCA